rnacentral:lncRNA from 1 species
CUGCCAAAUUCAUCUCUCUACUUGGAGCAGAUGAUUCUGUCCCUCUGGAUUGAUCAGUGAGAUCUAGAGCAUGAUUAUGAGAAGGAUUAUGAGGGGUUGGUUGCUGGGAGUGGUGAGAUUGAACUACUUAAGGGGUUGGUUCUCACUACUACUGUUUAAUGGUACGCUGGAGCUGUUGUACCGCAGUAGUGAGGACUUGAACU